rnacentral:tRNA from 2 species
GCGGGAGUAACUCAGUUGGUAGAGUAAUAGCCUUCCAAGCUAUCGGUCGCGGGUUCGAGUCCCGUCUCCCGCUCCA